rnacentral:rRNA from 1 species
CCUACGGGUGGCAGCAGUGAGGAAUAUUGGUCAAUGGCCGGAACGCUGAACCAGCGAAGCCGCGUGAGGGAGGAAGGCGCAGAGCGUCGCAGACCUCUUUUGCCGGGGGACAAAAGGCCGGACUCGUCCGGUCCUGAGGGUACCCGGAGAACAAGCCUCGGCAAACUCCGUCCCAGCAGCGGCGGUAAUCCGGGGGCUGCGAGCGUUAUCCGGAUUCAUUGGGUUUAAAGGGUGCGCAGGCGGGCCUUUAAGCGGGCGGUGAAAUCGCGGGGCUCAACCCCGCCGAGCCGUCGGAACUGGGGGCCUUGAGGGCGGCGGAGGCAUGCGGAAUGCGCGGUGUAGCGGUGAAAUGCAUAGAUAUCGCGCAGAACCCCGAUGGCGAAGGCAGCGUGCCGUGCCGCCACUGACGCUGAGGCACGAAAGCGCGGGGAGCGAACAGGAUUAGAUACCCGAGUAGUC